rnacentral:rRNA from 1 species
AUGAACGCUGGCGGCGUGCCUAAUACAUGCCAGUCGAGCGAACAGAUGAGGAGCUUGCUCCUCUGACGUUAGCGGCGGACGGGGGAGUAACACGUGGAUAACCUACCUAUAAGACUGGGAUAACUUCGGGAAACCGGAGCUAAUACCGGAUAAUAUAUUGAACCGCAUGGUUCAAUAGUGAAAGACGGUUUUGCUGUCACUUAUAGAUGGAUCCGCGCCGCAUUAGCUAGUUGGUAAGGUAACGGCUUACCAAGGCAACGAUGCGUAGCCGACCUGAGAGGGUGAUCGGCCACACUGGAACUGAGACACGGUCCAGACUCCUACGGGAGGCAGCAGUAGGGAAUCUUCCGCAAUGGGCGAAAGCCUGACGGAGCAACGCCGCGUGAGUGAUGAAGGUCUUCGGAUCGUAAAACUCUGUUAUUAGGGAAGAACAAAUGUGUAAGUAACUAUGCACGUCUUGACGGUACCUAAUCAGAAAGCCACGGCUAACUACGUG